AUUGAACGCUGGCGGCAGGCCUAACACAUGCAAGUCGAGCGGCAGCGGGAAAGUAGCUUGCUACUUUUGCCGGCGAGCGGCGGACGGGUGAGUAAUGCCUGGGAAAUUGCCCAGUCGAGGGGGAUAACAGUUGGAAACGACUGCUAAUACCGCAUGCGCCCUACGGGGGAAAGCAGGGGACCUUCGGGCCUUGCGCGAUUGGAUAUGCCCAGGUGGGAUUAGCUAGUUGGUGAGGUAAUGGCUCACCAAGGCGACGAUCCCUAGCUGGUCUGAGAGGAUGAUCAGCCACACUGGAACUGAGACACGGUCCAGACUCCUACGGGAGGCAGCAGUGGGGAAUAUUGCACAAUGGGGGAAACCCUGAUGCAGCCAUGCCGCGUGUGUGAAGAAGGCCUUCGGGUUGUAAAGCACUUUCAGCGAGGAGGAAAGGUUGAUGCCUAAUACGCAUCAACUGUGACGUUAUUCGCAGAAGAAGCACCGGCUAACUCCGUGCCAGCCGCCGCGGUAA
rnacentral:rRNA from 1 species